AGUGAUGUCAGGUACAGAUAGGAAGUGAUGUCAGGUACAGACAGGAAGUGUACAUAUAGGAAGUUCCGGGUGAGAGGAGGGUCGGGAUGAAGUAGAAAGGAAACAUUGCUAGAAGUAGCAGCAGAGGAGUCAUUUAUCCAACGUGAGAGUCUUUGGGACACAAGGAUCUCUACAAGGACGUCAUGAUGGAGAAUCAGCCGCCCCUCACAUCACCGGAUGGAUCCAGUAAUGGGAACCC